AACCGGGCAGACUGGUUAAAACCAUCUGCACCUCAGCUGUACUCUCUUCCAUCCCAGUGUCAGGAGGACGCCCGGGGAGCUUGACUUGCAAAAUCUUAUAAUGCAGAAGACAGCAGAGACAGUGGGGAGUGGGACGUAAUGCCUGAAGCUUAAUUAGAGGAACUAAGUGAAAGUUUGCAGCCUGCACACAAGGACCUCCCCCACAGCCUUCCUCAGGAGGCUGGGGUUCAAGCAUGGACUCCCCAAGAGGGACUGGAGCAGUAACCUCUGGGGAGGAUAAAUAUCCCCAGACGGAGAAGUUAAUGUGAAGUUGUCCUAGGUGAGUCUCUGAGCACGUGAGUGAAGACGCCAUCUUGGAUAGAGGCCCAGUCAAGCAUUCAGAGGACUUCAACUCCAGCCACCAUAUGACUACAACCUCAUGAGAGGCCCCAGGAGAACAGGCCUUGGCUGGCCUGCUGGAGACUGAAGGGGAGUUGGUCGAGAAGCAAAUUGAGCCAGCCAAGAUCAUCCUGAUCAGCCAACAGCCAGUUGCCUGUACUAAUGUAGAAGAUAGAAAAUGUACCAAAUGGAAUUUUGAUCAUGUCCAAAGGAUCUCCAGGCAGAAUACUGAAAGUGUCAGUGGGCUCUUACUAGCCAUAUAUGAUAAUAGGCCACAAGAAGAAAUGAACUCAAAAAGAGAACUGGCUGGUUUCCAGGCCACCUUUAGAGGGAAUCUAGUAAUACUUGAUUUGAAAAAUAAAAACUUUCUCAUCUCUAGCUGCUUGAGUGAGGAAAAGAUGAUCAAAUUAACACAUGAUGUCAAGGUAAUAUCAAAUCAAGGAUGUAGUUAUGAGAUGCUGAUAGAAUUAAGGUAGUUCCUGAUAAGUCCACUCAACUAGACAGGAGAGCUUCCAGGAAUUUUAAGGGUGAUAUCUCACAGCCAAUUAUACACCCAAAAUAGCAGCGAUUAAGUCUAUAAUGAGAAACUCCUCUCAAAAAAGAUUAUGAAUAUGACCUUGUCUGUUCUGAUUACACUGUAAA